GCCUCCCUCCGCGCCACUCAGACUCCUACGGAGGGCAGCAGUAAGGAAUAUUGGUCAAUGGGCGAAAGCCUGAACCAGCCAUGCCGCGUGGAGGAUGAAGGUCCUCUGGAUUGUAAACUUCUUUACAUUUGGGAAGAAACCCACGAUUUCUAUUGUGGUUUGACGGUACCAGAUGAAUAAGCACCGGCUAACUCCGUGCCAGCAGCCGCGGUAAUAC
rnacentral:rRNA from 1 species